rnacentral:rRNA from 1 species
AGUGAACGCUGGCGGUAGGCCUAACACAUGCAAGUCGAACGGCAGCACCGUAAGAGCUUGCUCUUACGGGUGGCGAGUGGCGGACGGGUGAGGAAUACAUCGGAAUCUACUUUUUCGUGGGGGAUCACGUAGGGAAACUUACGCUAAUACCGCAUACGACCUACGGGUGAAAGCAGGGGAUCUUCGGACCUUGCGCGAUUGAAUGAGCCGAUGUCGGAUUAGCUAGUUGGCGGGGUAAAGGCCCACCAAGGCGACGAUCCGUAGCUGGUCUGAGAGGAUGAUAGGCCACACUGGAACUGAGACACGGUCCAGACUCCUACGGGAGGCAGCAGUGGGGAAUAUUGGACAAUGGGCGCAAGCCUGAUCCAGCCAUACCGCGUGGGUGAAGAAGGCCUUCGGGUUGUAAAGCCCUUUUGUUGGGAAAGAAAAGCAGCAGGUUAAUACCCCGCUGUUCUGACGGUACCCAAAGAAUAAGCACCGGCUAACUUCGUG